GAGGGUGUAGCUUAGCAGUAGAGCACGUGCUUAGCAUGCACAGCAUGCACGAGGUCCUGGGUUCUGUCCUCAGUACCUCCA
rnacentral:tRNA from 1 species